GGGGGUGUAGCUCACUGGUAGAGCACUUGCCUAGCAUGCAUGAGGCCCUGAGUUAGAUCCCCUGCACCACAA
rnacentral:tRNA from 1 species